GUGUGAAUUGAGCGUCGGGCUCAACUCCAUAUAGGAAUAUGAUUGGUGACAUUGAUUGUUUUCAUUCUGUCUUGACUCUUGUUGCAGUGGAGUCUGCUUUACCUGUUGCUCUCCUGGAGCCAUACACAGCCCUGGAGGAGAAGGGAAUUGGGAUGCUGGUGCCCCUGCUAGAAAUGCUCCAGUCUGGUGACCCCACUGUCCAGUGUAACUCCUGUCAAUGUGCUGCCUACUGGCCUCCUCAGACUGAGAGGUGUCCGUGGUGAUGAGUGGUAGUGUGCUGGACGAGCAGCUGAAGAGGGUGCAUGCACAGACAAGAGGUAGAUCAUUCAGAAGCCUCCAUCCUCCUGACCUGUCCACUGGAGCCCUCUCUGCCUCAGGAGACAGACUGAGAUGUGGGACAUGCGUAUCACCGUUUGUCCUGACUUGCCAUUACCUUUGAACAUGACAAUGAUUGCUGCGGCAAGUCAUGAUUAUGAUGGGGUGUGUUAUUUUUGAGUGUUUACACUGGUGUGUUCUGAGGGUUUACAUCCAUAUUGCACUGGUGGAUAUAUUUAUA